rnacentral:rRNA from 1 species
GUGCCAGCCGCCGCGGUAAUACGUAGGGGGCGAGCGUUGUCCGGAAUCACUGGGCGUAAAGGGUACGUAGGCGGCUAGGUAAGUCAGAUGUGAAAGGCAUGGGCUUAACCCAUGUAAGCAUUUGAAACUGCUUAGCUUGAGUCGAGGAGAGGAAGGCGGAAUUCCUGGUGUAGCGGUGAAAUGCGUAGAUAUCAGGAGGAACACCAGUGGCGAAGGCGGCCUUCUGGCCUUGGACUGACGCUGAGGUACGAAAGCGUGGGGAGCAAACAGGAUUAGAUACCCUGGUAGUCCACGCCGUAAACGAUGAGUGCUAGGUGUCGGGGAUUUAUCUUCGGUGCCGGAGUUAACACAUUAAGCACUCCGCCUGGGGAGUACGUUCGCAAGAAUGAAACUCAAAGAAAUUGACGG